GUAGGGAAUAUUGGGCAAUGGAUGCAAGUCUGACCCAGCCAUCCCGCGUGCCGGAAGAAGGCCCUCAGGGUUGUAAACGGCUUUUGACGGUGAAGAAUCGACAGGAUGCGUCCUGUUUUGACGGUAGCCGUUGAAUAAGCACCGGCUAACUCCGUGCCAGCAGCCGCGGUAAUCCGGAGGGUGCGAGCGUUGUCCGGCUUUAUUGGGUUUAAAGGGUGCGUAGGCUGGAAGGUCAGUCAGCGGUGAAAAGCUGUCGCUUAACGAUAGUCUUGCCGCAGAUACUUCCUUUCUUGGAUGAGGAGGAGGCCACUGGAACGGAUGGUGUAGCGGUGAAAUGCAUAGAUAUCAUCCAGAACACCGAUUGCGAAGGCAGGUGGCUGUACCUUAAUCGACGCUGAUGCACGAAAGCAUGGGGAGCAAACAGGAUUAGAAACCCGAGUAGUCC
rnacentral:rRNA from 1 species